AUGCUCACUUUAGCAGCACAUAUACUUAAAAUGAACAAUACAGGGAAGGUUGGCAUGAACGCUGUGAAGGAUGGCUUGCAAAUCCAUGAAGUGCCCCAUUAUUUU
ensembl:snRNA U6 U6 spliceosomal RNA